rnacentral:rRNA from 1 species
UACGGAGGGAGCUAGCGUUGUUCGGAAUUACUGGGCGUAAAGCGCGCGUAGGCGGCUUUGUAAGUUAGAGGUGAAAGCCCGGAGCUCAACUCCGGAACUGCCUUUAAAACUGCAUCGCUUGAAUCCAGGAGAGGUGAGUGGAAUUCCGAGUGUAGAGGUGAAAUUCGUAGAUAUCGAGAGGAACACCGGUGGCGAAGGCGGCCUUCUGGACAGUGACUGACGCUGAGACGCGAAAGCGUGGGGAGCAAACAGG